rnacentral:rRNA from 1 species
CCUACGGGUGGCAGCAGUGGGGGAUAUUGCACAAUGGGGGAAACCCUGAUGCAGCGAUGCCGCGUGUGGGAAGACGGUCCUCUGGAUUGUAAACCACUGUCCCCAGGGACGAAGAUGACGGUACCUGGGGAGGAAGCUACGGCUAACUACGUGCCAGCAGCCGCGGUAAUACGUAGGGAGCGAGCGUUGUCCGGAAUUACUGGGUGUAAGGGGAGCGUAGGCGGGACUGCAAGUUGGGUGUCAAAUCUACCGGCUCAACCGGUAGCCGCACUCAAAACUGCAGUUCUUGAGUGAAGUAGAGGCAGGCGGAAUGCGUAGUGUAGCGGUGAAAUGCGUAGAUAUUAGGAGGAACACCAGUGGCGAAGGCGGCCUGCUGGGCUUUUACUGACGCUGAGGCUCGAAAGUGUGGGGAGCAAACAGGAUUAGAUACCCCUGUAGUC